rnacentral:rRNA from 1 species
CUCUUCUUUACUUGUCUUGUGGCCAGGGUAGUAUGACGAUCUAUUGGAGUGGUUUUAGGCACUGACAAAUGUCCGAAGAACUACUGGCAAUAUUUCAUUUGGUGUCAUAAGUUUCUUCCUGGGAAGAAAACAUUCUAUACAAUAGGCUUGGCAGCCACUUGUUGGGCCAUCUGGUUGGCGCGUAAUCGAGCUACUUUUGAAAAGAAACAAAUCAAGACUCCUUUGAGAUUGUGUUUUCUCUAUGCUCUUUUCUGCUUUAUUGGACAGGCUUGCAACAAGGGGACGCCGCCAGGGAGCUUCGAACAGGAGCAGAGAUGA